AUUGAACGCUGGCGGCAGGCCUAACACAUGCAAGUCGAGCGAGUGGCGGACGGGUGAGUAAUGUAUGGGGACUGCCCGAUAGAGGGGGAUAACUACUGGAAACGGUAGCUAAUACCGCAUACUAUCGGAUAACCCAUAUGGGAUUAGUUAGUGGGUGAGGUAAUGGCUCACCUAGGCGACGAUCCCUAGCUGGUCUGAGAGGAUGAUCAGCAACACUGGGACUGGAACACGGCCCAAAGUCCUAGGGAGGAGGAAGUGGGGAAUAUUGCACAAUGGGCGAAAGCCGGAUGCAGCCAUGCCGCGUGUAUGAAGAAGGCCCUAGGGUUGAAAAGUACGUUCAGUCGGGAGGCGUUACCGACAGAAGAAGCACCGGCUAACUCCGUGCCAGCAGCCGCGGUAAUUC
rnacentral:rRNA from 1 species